AAUUCUGUGACGAGACUAUUUCAUUUACAGAAUAAUGAUAAUUUUGUGGUUAAUCCUUUCGUUGAUUUUAUUUUAAAAGUAUUUUCUUAUCAGAAUGAUAGAUUUCGUUGCCGACCUUUUGGACGAGAUGCAUGAAAUGAGAGAAAGGCUUAAUGAAGAAUAGCAUGAAGUUCGAGCAGCCUGUGAAUAAGAGAUUUGUGAACACAAACAUGAAAUCACUUAUAUUAUUCAGAGUAAUUUGCGGUAAUGAAUUCAAAGGUUGAACAUUUUUAACCGCAAUAAACUUUUUAUCGUGUAAA